rnacentral:rRNA from 1 species
CGAACGCUGGCGGCGUGCUUAACACAUGCACGUCGAACGGAAAGGCCCUGCUUGCAGGGUACUCGAGUGGCGAACGGGUGAGUAACACGUGGGUGAUCUGCCCUGCACUUCGGGAUAAGCCUGGGAAACUGGGUCUAAUACCGGAUAGGAGCCAUUUUUAGUGUGAUGGUUGGAAAGUUUUUUCGGUGUAGGAUGAGCUCGCGGCCUAUCAGCUUGUUGGUGGGGUAAUGGUCUACCAAGGCGGCGACGGGUAGCCGGCCUGAGAGGGUGGACGGCCACAUUGGGACUGAGAUACGGCCCAGACUCCUACGGGAGGCAGCAGUGGGGAAUAUUGCACAAUGGGCGCAAGCCUGAUGCAGCGACGCCGCGUGGGGGAUGACGGCCUUCGGGUUGUAAACUCCUUUCGCUAGGGACGAAGCUUUUUGUGACGGUACCUAGAUAAGAAGCACCGGCUAACUACGUG